CGCCGUUGAGGACGAGAUCGUAAUGAAGUCCCCUCGCCUUCCCAGGGUCCGACCUCACCAGCGCCUCGUCCCCCGGGGCUAGGGGGAGGAGAUCCAUUUCAUAGGGGGGAACUG
rnacentral:SRP_RNA from 13 species